AAAAGAGAAGAAAAAAUGAGUAUUAAAAAUCGAUGGUCCAAGGUGGUUGUCACAAUGGAGGAGGACAGUGCUAAGGGCGGUGAUGGAGAAAAUAGAGGUGAAAAGUGGCGGCAAGGUGGAGGUUCGAUGGUGACGAUGGUGGUUCAAGGAAAAGGAGUGGUGAAGGAGAUGAGGGACAAUAAUACAUAUGGUGGUUGAUAGCUAAAACAAAAGAAAAAGGGAGAAAUAG
rnacentral:lncRNA from 1 species